GGCAGGUUUAUGGCAAGCACGUGUUCGGCUGUUAUGGCUGCCAAAAGGGAAGCUGGUUCCUUCAGACAGGAAGGCCCAGAGUGAUCUGAUACAGUGCCCACUUUUAGGCCAACCGGGAAGAAAAGAGAGGAGUGGGAGGAAAUCCAGAAUAUGAGAUGCCAACCGCCAGAAGAGUUUCAGGGGCUUCAUGAGCUCAAACCACAUUCAAGUGGGUUGUGUAGUGGGAAAACGGUGGAGCAAUGCAGACAUCCACUGCAGACUGUUCUGGGAGGAAGCUGGUAUGUGCAGAGCACGGUAAGGGCAGCACCUGGAAAGGGUCUCGUGUUUAAGAAUAGUCUUUAGUUUUUCUUGGGAGGGAUGCCUGGUAUGUUUCAGUGAUGAUGGGAAUGAGCCAGGAGAGAGGGAAAAGCAGAAUAUGCAGGGGAGAGAAGGACUCCCCAAAUGUUAGGUAGUGAGAAGGCCAAAGAGAAUGGGGUAUAGGAGCCUUGGAGAAGAGUGGGCCACUUCUCCCAUCAGAAGAGGUGAGGGCCUGUGGGAAAGUCAAGGUAAAUGCUCCCUGAUGGCACUUGUGUUCUCAGCUACGCAGAAAACCUGGAGCAGAGAUAGGCUGAAGGUUUACAGAAAGAAUCUGAAAUUGUUCCUAUAGAGAGUAUGCAGCUGAUGGAGGAAAUAGAAGCUUGAUAGGCUGUACUGUGUGAAAGCUUCAGGCUUUAAUGUUGAUCGGCAAUAUCUCUGAUUUCUUUCACUUGUUGGGUGCAUCUCCCAUAGGUCAGGUGUAGGGGAAGCUGUAGCCACGCCUUCUUAGGGGCUGGCUACAGGAGUACCUGAGGGUUUGUGAGGGCGUGGUCAGAGUGAGUAGGGGGACUGCGUUUUCGGUUUCGGUUUCUCUUUGCUUCUUGCUGUACAGACUACCACCGGCUGGCUGGUUCGCUCUGUAAGUAAGGCUUUUCCCUAUUAAAUACCCUUAUAUUUCUACCUGACUCCGUAUUGGUAAUUUCCUACUAUAGUCAGGUCUAGCACCCUGCUCCGGGAGUGGUGUGUUUUGUUUUGGACUGCUGGGUCCUCCUUGGUAUAGGAGCUGCUGAGAUCCUUAUCAGACUCCUGUGUCUUUUGGGCAUGGCCCUGGCACCACUUCCCGGAUGAUGAGCUUUGGGAAAGUGGAUUUUGACAUUUUUGUUUGCCUCACCCAUGGGGAAUGCAUAAGGAACCUUUCUGGUUGCAGCCAACAAGUGGGUAAACAGACAAAAAAGGGGCUUAUAGUUGCCACCAUCUUGGCCAUAUGGACUGACAUGGGGGUCGCCAUCUUGGUCAUGGGACCUACCUGUAGGCACACCCACUCCAACAGCCUUUGCCAGUAAACCUGGCUGCUGGACUUUUGCUUUCUGUCAGAUUCUUUUUUGCUUUUUAUUUUUUUUGUCUGUGAUUUCUUCUUUCACUGGCUCUGUUGCUCAUGGCUUGUUUACAGAAUACUGUGUCUUUCCAGGUCCCUCUGUUUAAGUCUACUCUGUCCCUUUAAAUCUCUUGUCUGUUUGCUACCAUGUACGGAUCAGAGAUUGCAUUCUGGUUCCCCCUUUACUGCUAUCCAGUCCUGCUUGUCUCUGUACAUGUAAUUUAAAUUUAACUUUAUACUUAUCUAACCCUAUAUACAACUUAAAUUAAACUGUGCUAAGUGUCAUAUUUCUAAAUUGCUAUGUAUCUUUAAAUGAUGGUGAAGACUUAAAGUCAUAAAGGUCUAAUUUAACUAUACUUAAAAUAUAAGCUAAGUAGCCAUAGAGAGGCAGGGAGAGCGUGUAGGUGAGAGACAGAGUAGAGAGGAAGCAGAGAGAGGAGUUGGAGCUUUUAAAGGGAAGACUGUGCAUGCGCACUGAGGUUCCACGCAUGUCCAGAGUCAUCACGGGUGACGGGGCAAUGACGUAGCACGUUUUCUUGUGCAUGACCUGAGUAUUGUCAGGGGGCAGGGUCUGUCUCUUAAAGAGUUAGAGCUGAUCAGCAUCAAAAGCCUGAACCUUUCAUUCCCACCUCUACUUAUUAUUUAAAAAAAGGUGGGGUGUUAGACAUGGCAGGGUAAGGAAUAAGGGCGUCGAAUUCUCAAGACUGCUUCCUGCUGAUGUGGGGGGCGUUGACCAUCUUUGGGGGACCUGAGAAGGUUGGGGUGCUGCCAUGUCCUGGGUUAUUUGGUUGUUUCAUCGCAGUCCAGGCUGUAUGGAACUCCCUGGCGCUUCUUAGACCUGGCAAGAUGUUGACAGAGCAGAGGACAAGGUUAAAUUUAGAAAAAAAAUUGUUUUCUUAGGUCCUGUCACUUGAGGGGAAGAUUGUAAGAUGAGGGAGGGGUUCCCGAGGAAUCCCAACAAGAGGAAGGGAGUCCUGGGACCAGGGAAAGAUUGAAUAACUGGAGUGAAUCUGACCUGUUUGUCUGGAUCCAAUUCAGCUUCCUGGAACUUACAAGAAUCCUUAGUUUGUGGAAACAUAAGUAUUAGACACAUUAGCAGCAUAUUCAUGUUAGAAGCAACUUGGCUGAAAGCAUUAACAUUUUAAAAUUGACAGAUUUUUUUUUAGGAUAAUGAAAAGUAUCUUAAUCUUGAUCUUGUAGUUAUGAUUGUAUAGUGGUAUUGUGGAACUUUACUAUGAACAGUAGGAUGAGAAAUAGAGAAAUCAGGAACAUAUUUCAUUCUUUUUAAUGUCUCAACUCACUUUAUCAUCACUUAAGCCUUUUUAACCCCAGACCUUCAUAACUUUAAUUCAUACACUUUACAUUACCAUCUUAGACAUUCCAUUCUCAGACCUUCAUAACUUGCAUUUAUCCACCGUGUUAGACCUUCCAUCCUCAGACAUUCAUUAACUACAUUCUCAGACCUUCAUACAUCUACACUUUCCUAUCUUCACAUAGAUAAAACCCUAAAAUACCUGUUCCUAGAAUCUGUUUUGCUUUAAGCUGGCAAGACUACCAGUCGUCAAAAGCAUCUGAGUUCUUGAGAAGGAUAAAAUUUUACCUGAAUCAAUGAUUAAAGAAUAACAGAGACUUGCCAGCAGGCUGCAUGGACAGCCAUCCCCAAGGUCCUCCAUCCAUAGUAUCGGGCUGCAGGACACCUGCCUUCUUGCUGAUAGCAUGUGACCUGUGCAUUACAGACUAUAGGAAGACUCGCCUACUGUUGGCCCAAGCAACUCGGGGAAAGUCGAUUUCACUGUCCUCUUGUCCACGGUCUGGAGUACUUUGUAGCAGUUGAGGUGAAGGGCAGGGUUGCUCAGUGACUAGUGUUGUCACUGACUUGAGAUGAAGUUUCUUCAGUGCCCAUCAGUCUUCAUGGAGGAAAUGGUGUGGAGCCAGCAGCUGGCCUAUCUCUCUGUUAUAAAAAGCCUUUUAACAAAACAUUUUAAAUGCCAUAUUCUCUAGAUCUCUGAGCAUAUGAGGGCUGUCUGUUUAGUAUCUCAGCAGUUAGGUUUGCCUUUAGUUAGAGAAAAAUGCCUUUUUGUAAUAAAAGCUGUACCUUUGUAAACGGCUUACAGGAUAGACUGAGUGGUAUAAAUAUUUUGUUAGUUUGAAAUAGACCUUUAUGAUUUUAAACUUUCAUCAUUUAAAGAUACACAAGUUAAAUUUAAGUUGUAUGGACUUAGCUUAUAUUUUAAGUAUAGUUAAAUUAGACCUUUAUGACUUUAAAUAUUUACCAUCAUUUCAAGAUACAUAGCAAUUUAGAAAUAUGAGACUUAGUACAGUUUAAUUUAAGUUGCAUAUAGAGCUAGAUAAGUAUACAGUUAAAUUACAGGUGUAGAGACAAGCAGGACUGGAUAACAGUAAAGGGGGAACCAGAAUGCAAUCUCUGAUCCGUACAUUGUAGCAAAUAGACAGGAGAUUUAAAGGGACAGAGUAGACUUAAACAGAGGGACCUGGAAAGGCACAGUAUUUAGUAAACAAGCCAUGAACAACAGAGCCAUUGAAAGAAGAAAUCACAGACCAAAAAUAAAAUAAAAUAAAAAGCAAAAAGAUCUGGCAAAAGUCAAAAAUCCAGCAGACAGGUUUGGUGGCAUAGGCCGCUGGAGUGGGCGUGCCUACAGGUAGGUCACAUGAACAAGAUGGCGGCGACCAUAAGCCACUGUUUUGUCUGUUUAUCUGCUUGUUGGCUGCAACCAGAAAGGUUCCUCUAUGCAUUUCCCAUGGGUGAGGCAAGUGGAAAACUGGCAAAAAGCUCCUCUACAGAUGCACGUCUGCCCGUGGGAGUUGCCAGGGGCCUGGCCCCGAAGGGGACACAGCUGUCCCCGAAACCGAAAAAGGACCCAGUAGUCCAAACUGAAAAAGCAAAAAGCACCGCUCCUGGAGCGGGAUCCCAUGCCUGACCCUCAGGAAAUGAACUCAAGUGAAAGAAGAAAUAAAAAGCAAGAUGUCUGGUGGCAGUGCUUGCCUAUGCAAGUCACUGAACUGAGUGGGCAGGCCUAAGCUAGGUCACCUGGUUAGGAUGGCACAUGACCAAGAUGGCGGCCCCCAGGUUAGCGCACAUGGCUGAGAUGGCGAACCCCUUAAGCACAUUCUCAAUUGCCGGAAGAAGUUUUUUCUCCAUGAGUGAGGCAGUAACAAACAAACAAACAAAACUCUCAGAGCGUCUCAAGCAGACACUGCCAAGAAGAAACACAGUCAGAGAUAGACAAAAAGAUGAGGGACAUUCCCAGGUGAAAGAAAACUCCGCUCAUUUACCUACUCGCUGGCAGUAACUGAAAGAUCCCAUAAAAUGUAUUUCCCGUGGGCAAGGCCAAAAAUGGCACAGAUUGUUCUUUUUGAGAGCACCAGGCAGAAAGCCCAAAAGAGGCUCAGCAGUCCGAAACCGAAAAAAAUGUACCCAGAGUGAACUCCAAAAUGCAGUGCUGGGUCUGCCCCAUGGGAAAAGUUAUGGGUAUCUUACCGGAUUGUAGCGAACAGGCAGAUGAGUGAGUUCCAGAGAUCCUUAGUUGGAAAAGCGGCGAGUUGAAGUGUACAGAGUUCUGGCAUCUCAGGCUGCUGCAGGCAGGAGGAAGUGCCAGGAAAAGCCGAGAUGGAAGUGGGUUAUGAGUUCAGAUUUUAGUAUCCCCGGAAUUUCCUGUGCACCUGACAGGAGAAGUUAGAAAGCCUAUUGUUAGACCCCCAGAAAACUCAGGCCUCCGGGGUCUUAGCCCAGGACCUCGGUCACCCCAAUCACCAGGUGGACUCGAAAGCUUGCUGCAAACUGCAUGAGGCUUUAUUGUAGUUUAACCCCAUGUGAGCUCGGGUCUUUCACCCACCGGCCAUGGCGGAUGGCUAGCAAAGACAGCUCGAACCGGCUGCCGAGAGAUUUUGUAGGGCAGCAUAGGGGAGUGUCUAGGGGUACGCACAGGCUCAGGAUUGGUGUGCCACCAGGCUUGGAGGGCUUGCCCUGUAUUGAUUGGUCAACUGGUUGUUAUGGCCCAUAGGCCCUUCCAGGGUGGUUGCUAUGCUCUGUGCAUCAUUGCUGUGCACUUGUCUGUAAAGCACACCCAGAG
rnacentral:lncRNA from 1 species